rnacentral:tRNA from 1 species
GUUGAAAUAGCUCAGUUGGUUAGAGUGCUGGUCUGUCACGCCAGAAGUCGCGGGUUCGAACCCCGUUUCCGCCC